UGGGGAAUAUUGGACAAUGGGCGAAAGCCUGAUCCAGCCAUGCCGCGUGUGUGAAGAAGGUCUUCGGAUUGUAAAGCACUUUAAGUUGGGAGGAAGGGCAGUUACCUAAUACGUGAUUGUUUUGACGUUACCGACAGAAUAAGCACCGGCUAACUCUGUGCCAGCAGCCGAGGUAAUACAGAGGGUGCAAGCGUUAAUCGGAAUUACUGGGCGUAAAGCGCGCGUAGGUGGUUUGUUAAGUUGGAUGUGAAAUCCCCGGGCUCAACCUGGGAACUACAUUCAAAACUGACUGACUAGAGUAUGGUAGAGGGUGGUGGAAUUUCCUGUGUAGCGGUGAAAUGCGUAGAUAUAGGAAGGAACACGAGUGGCGAAGGCGACCACCUGGACUAAUACUGACACUGAGGUGCGAAAGCGUGGGGAGCAAACA
rnacentral:rRNA from 1 species